rnacentral:rRNA from 1 species
UUCCUACGAGAGGCAGCAGUGAGGAAUCUUCCACAAUGGGCGAAAGCCUGAUGGAGCAAUGCCGCGUGCAGGAUGAAGGCCUUCGGGUUGUAAACUGCUUUUAAAGCCGAGAAAUAUGAUGGUAAGCUUUGAAUAAGGAUCGGCUAACUACGUGCCAGCAGCCGCGGUAAUGGAA